rnacentral:snoRNA from 1 species
UAGAAAAGUCCAUGAUGGUGUUACCCAACUUGUCACCCUGUCUGAAGCAUCUCAGUGAUGCAAUCUCUGUGUUCUGAGACUUCUCUAAGU